rnacentral:rRNA from 1 species
GGUUAAGCGACUAAGCGUACACGGUGGAUGCCCUGGCAGUCAGAGGCGAUGAAGGACGUGCUAAUCUGCGAUAAGCGUCGGUAAGGUGAUAUGAACCGUUAUAACCGGCGAUUUCCGAAUGGGGAAACCCAGUGUGUUUCGACACACUAUCAUUAACUGAAUCCAUAGGUUAAUGAGGCGAACCGGGGGAACUGAAACAUCUAAGUACCCCGAGGAAAAGAAAUCAACCGAGAUUCCCCCAGUAGCGGCGAGCGAACGGGGAGGAGCCCAGAGCCUGAAUCAGUGUGUGUGUUAGUGGAAGCGUCUGGAAAGGCGCGCGAUACAGGGUGACAGCCCCGUACACAAAAAUGCACAUGCUGUGAGCUCGAUGAGUAGGGCGGGACACGUGGUAUCCUGUCUGAAUAUGGGGGGACCAUCCUCCAAGGCUAAAUACUCCUGACUGACCGAUAGUGAACCAGUACCGUGAGGGAAAGGCGAAAAGAACCCCGGCGAGGGGAGUGAAAAAGAACCUGAAACCGUGUACGUACAAGCAGUGGGAGCACGCUUAGGCGUGUGACUGCGUACCUUUUGUAUAAUGGGUCAGCGACUUAUAUUCUGUAGCAAGGUUAACCGAAUAGGGGAGCCGAAGGGAAACCGAGUCUUAACUGGGCGUUAAGUUGCAGGGUAUAGACCCGAAACCCGGUGAUCUAGCCAUGGGCAGGUUGAAGGUUGGGUAACACUAACUGGAGGACCGAACCGACUAAUGUUGAAAAAUUAGCGGAUGACUUGUGGCUGGGGGUGAAAGGCCAAUCAAACCGGGAGAUAGCUGGUUCUCCCCGAAAGCUAUUUAGGUAGCGCCUCGUGAAUUCAUCUCCGGGGGUAGAGCACUGUUUCGGCAAGGGGGUCAUCCCGACUUACCAACCCGAUGCAAACUGCGAAUACCGGAGAAUGUUAUCACGGGAGACACACGGCGGGUGCUAACGUCCGUCGUGAAGAGGGAAACAACCCAGACCGCCAGCUAAGGUCCCAAAGUCAUGGUUAAGUGGGAAACGAUGUGGGAAGGCCCAGACAGCCAGGAUGUUGGCUUAGAAGCAGCCAUCAUUUAAAGAAAGCGUAAUAGCUCACUGGUCGAGUCGGCCUGCGCGGAAGAUGUAACGGGGCUAAACCAUGCACCGAAGCUGCGGCAGCGACGCUGAUGCGUUGUUGGGUAGGGGAGCGUUCUGUAAGCCUGCGAAGGUGUGCUGUGAGGCAUGCUGGAGGUAUCAGAAGUGCGAAUGCUGACAUAAGUAACGAUAAAGCGGGUGAAAAGCCCGCUCGCCGGAAGACCAAGGGUUCCUGUCCAACGUUAAUCGGGGCAGGGUGAGUCGACCCCUAAGGCGAGGCCGAAAGGCGUAGUCGAUGGGAAACAGGUUAAUAUUCCUGUACUUGGUGUUACUGCGAAGGGGGGACGGAGAAGGCUAUGUUGGCCGGGCGACGGUUGUCCCGGUUUAAGCGUGUAGGCUGGUUUUCCAGGCAAAUCCGGAAAAUCAAGGCUGAGGCGUGAUGACGAGGCACUACGGUGCUGAAGCAACAAAUGCCCUGCUUCCAGGAAAAGCCUCUAAGCAUCAGGUAACAUCAAAUCGUACCCCAAACCGACACAGGUGGUCAGGUAGAGAAUACCAAGGCGCUUGAGAGAACUCGGGUGAAGGAACUAGGCAAAAUGGUGCCGUAACUUCGGGAGAAGGCACGCUGAUAUGUAGGUGAAGUCCCUCGCGGAUGGAGCUGAAAUCAGUCGAAGAUACCAGCUGGCUGCAACUGUUUAUUAAAAACACAGCACUGUGCAAACACGAAAGUGGACGUAUACGGUGUGACGCCUGCCCGGUGCCGGAAGGUUAAUUGAUGGGGUUAGCGCAAGCGAAGCUCUUGAUCGAAGCCCCGGUAAACGGCGGCCGUAACUAUAACGGUCCUAAGGUAGCGAAAUUCCUUGUCGGGUAAGUUCCGACCUGCACGAAUGGCGUAAUGAUGGCCAGGCUGUCUCCACCCGAGACUCAGUGAAAUUGAACUCGCUGUGAAGAUGCAGUGUACCCGCGGCAAGACGGAAAGACCCCGUGAACCUUUACUAUAGCUUGACACUGAACAUUGAGCCUUGAUGUGUAGGAUAGGUGGGAGGCUUUGAAGUGUGGACGCCAGUCUGCAUGGAGCCGACCUUGAAAUACCACCCUUUAAUGUUUGAUGUUCUAACGUGGACCCGUAAUCCGGGUUGCGGACAGUGUCUGGUGGGUAGUUUGACUGGGGCGGUCUCCUCCUAAAGAGUAACGGAGGAGCACGAAGGUUGGCUAAUCCUGGUCGGACAUCAGGAGGUUAGUGCAAUGGCAUAAGCCAGCUUGACUGCGAGCGUGACGGCGCGAGCAGGUGCGAAAGCAGGUCAUAGUGAUCCGGUGGUUCUGAAUGGAAGGGCCAUCGCUCAACGGAUAAAAGGUACUCCGGGGAUAACAGGCUGAUACCGCCCAAGAGUUCAUAUCGACGGCGGUGUUUGGCACCUCGAUGUCGGCUCAUCACAUCCUGGGGCUGAAGUAGGUCCCAAGGGUAUGGCUGUUCGCCAUUUAAAGUGGUACGCGAGCUGGGUUUAGAACGUCGUGAGACAGUUCGGUCCCUAUCUGCCGUGGGCGCUGGAGAACUGAGGGGGGCUGCUCCUAGUACGAGAGGACCGGAGUGGACGCAUCACUGGUGUUCGGGUUGUCAUGCCAAUGGCACUGCCCGGUAGCUAAAUGCGGAAGAGAUAAGUGCUGAAAGCAUCUAAGCACGAAACUUGCCCCGAGAUGAGUUCUCCCUGACUCCUUGAGAGUCCUGAAGGAACGUUGAAGACGACGACGUUGAUAGGCCGGGUGUGUAAGCGCAGCGAUGCGUUGAGCUAACCGGUACUAAUGAACCGUGAGGCUUAACCUU